GGGCCCGCACAAGCGGUGGAGCAUGUGGUUUAAUUCGAUGAUACGCGAGGAACCUUACCAGGACUUAAAUGCAUAACGAUCGGUUGAGAAAUCAACUUUUCUUCGGACGGUAUGCAAGGUGCUGCAUGGUUGUCGUCAGCUCGUGCCGUGAGGUGUCAGGUUAAGUCCUAUAACGAGCGCAACCCCUAUUCUUAGUUGCCAGCGGAUAAUGCCGGGGACUCUAAGAAAACUGCCAGCGCAAGCUGUGAGGAAGGUGGGGAUGACGUCAAAUCAUCACGGCCCUUACGUCCUGGGCCACACACGUGCUACAAUGGUAGGUACAAAGGGCAGCCACUUGGCGACAAGGAGCU
rnacentral:rRNA from 1 species